rnacentral:rRNA from 1 species
UACGUAGGGUGCGAGCGUUGUCCGGAAUUACUGGGCGUAAAGAGCUCGUAGGUGGUUUGUCGCGUUGUUCGUGAAAACCGGGGGCUUAACCCUCGGCGUGCGGGCGAUACGGGCAGACUUGAGUACUGCAGGGGAGACUGGAAUUCCUGGUGUAGCGGUGAAAUGCGCAGAUAUCAGGAGGAACACCGGUGGCGAAGGCGGGUCUCUGGGCAGUAACUGACGCUGAGAAGCGAAAGCGUGGGUAGCGAACAGG